rnacentral:rRNA from 1 species
AUGAACGCUGGCGGCGUGCCUAAUACAUGCAAGUCGAGCGAACAGACGAGGAGCUUGCUCCUCUGACGUUAGCGGCGGACGGGUGAGUAACACGUGGAUAACCUACCUAUAAGACUGGGAUAACUUCGGGAAACCGGAGCUAAUACCGGAUAAUAUAUUGAACCGCAUGGUUCAAUAGUGAAAGACGGUUUUGCUGUCACUUAUAGAUGGAUCCGCGCCGCAUUAGCUAGUUGGUAAGGUAACGGCUUACCAAGGCAACGAUGCGUAGCCGACCUGAGAGGGUGAUCGGCCAUACUGGAACUGAGACACGGUCCAGACUCCUACGGGAGGCAGCAGUAGGGAAUCUUCCGCAAUGGGCGAAAGCCUGACGGAGCAACGCCGCGUGAGUGAUGAAGGUCUUCGGAUCGUAAAACUCUGUUAUUAGGGAAGAACAAAUGUGUAAGUAACUAUGCACGUCUUGACGGUACCUAAUCAGAAAGCCACGGCUAACUACGU